rnacentral:rRNA from 1 species
AGAGUUUGAUCCUGGCUCAGGACGAACGCUGGCGGCACGCCUAACACAUGCAAGUCGAACGGGGUAUUGGAUGCUUGCAUCAAAUACCUAGUGGCGGACGGGUGAGUAACACGUGAGCAACCUGCCUCUCAGAGGGGGAUAACGUUUGGAAACGAACGCUAAUACCGCAUGAAAUAUAUGUACCGCAUGGUAGAUAUAUCAAAGGAGCAAUCCGCUGAGAGAUGGGCUCGCGUCCGAUUAGGCAGUUGGCGGGGUAACGGCCCACCAAACCGACAAUCGGUAGCCGGACUGAGAGGUUGAACGGCCACAUUGGGACUGAGACACGGCCCAGACUCCUACGGGAGGCAGCAGUGGGGGAUAUUGCACAAUGGGGGAAACCCUGAUGCAGCGAUGCCGCGUGAGUGAAGACGGCCUUCGGGUUGUAAAGCUCUGUCGCAGAGGACGAAAAUGACGUACUCUGUAAGAAAGCUCCGGCUAACUACGUGCCAGCAGCCGCGGU